GAAGUCUUUUUCGUCCCUUGUCUGUGUGCACUUUACUUUUCCCCUCUGUGAUUACCCAACCCGUUUCACCCGUGUCUUGGUCGUCACAGCUGUCUGUCGUUUCCCUAAUUCCUCAGUGUAUAUAACCACUCCCCCUUCCUUUAUCUGUCGCCUCGUGAUUCGCUGUUUUUCUGACCAGAGGAUUUCUAUGCACGUGUGUGCUUCAAGUGACUCUGUCAGUGUUCAGUUCCACGAUUGAUCCCGCGCCUGCGUCUUUACGCAUAUUUGCUGCAUUUACAGUAAAGUCUGUAAUGGUUACACUUAUCACAUUCAAACAUUUUCAGUGCAAAAGCCUCUGGUUAGAAAGAUAACGCAAUAACAUUGUACCAUUAAACAGCAUAAAGCACAUUACCAAUGAACAUUUUCCAUAAACCAGUGCAGCUUCAAUAUUCUUCACAGUUUUUAUGAAGCGACGACAUAAAUCUUCUGUGCAAAGUCAAUAAACAGAAUACUUGCAAUAUGCCUGCAGGUCAUCCCUCAGAUCAGAGGAGCAGAGCACCCCCCAGACCGCCCACCGGGUAAGGCACGGCCAGAUACCCACCACAGUCACCCCCACCACCCCCCAGAAGCCGACCACACGCCCCCGGGCCAGGGAGGGAAAGGCGGAGGCCCGCGUAAGGCCACCAGCCAAGGGGGCCCCCAGCGACGGAAGAGAGGCAGACUCCUGAGCCGGUCUCGUCCGUGCUGUGUUGUACUUGUCAGUCUUUCUGUUGCUGUUUGUGUAUCUUUCUGUCAGUAUUAAGUUCUUGUCUGUAAAAAAAUAUCUUGUUAUCUGUCUUGUUUUUGUUUAUAUCAGUGUGUGUCAUGACACGUCCAAAGUUCAGGCCCUGUCCAUCUUGCCAGACACUCAAUGCUGCAAGCCUCAAAACUUGCAGCAUGUGUUAUGUGAGCCUGUCAAUGAAGAAGAAGUUGAAGGAAAAGACAGCAUCAUUGGACAGCAAGUGGGGUCAAGGUAUCGUCCCAAACCGGAAUGUUGGCCGCAUUAUUGAUUCAGCCCGUAUUGCAGUGCGAAAACUUGAGGCCAUAGGCUACAAGCCCAUUUUAUUUAUGGGAAAAAAAGACAAGAAGGCCUCUAACAAGUGGGUAGCUGACAUAAUAACCCAUUUGCCCCUCACAUCUACCACCAAAAACUUCUUGGAGAAGAUGAGGAGGGCUUAUGAAUUUCUUUUGACUAAGGAACAGCAGCCCAACACUGACCCAUCAGCAGAGCCUGAUAACCCCACCAUGGAGCAGGGUGACAGCCCCGUCGAGGGUAUGGGCCACAGCCAGGACGAGGAGCAGCACAGCAGCCUCGCCAUGGAGCAACGUGACCACACCUAGGAGACUGUAUUUGUCCUGAACCUUGUCCCUUGUCCGUCUCUCUCUUCUUCUUCUUGUUCUACCUCUACCACUGUUGCAGCAAUGAAGAAGAGGAAGAGAGGAAAUGACUCCCAGUUAAAAAAGGAGGGGCUUAAGAAGAAAAAGGGUUGUCGAAAAUGUAGUAGACAGAAAAUAUUCCAGUUUGGCUCAAUUUCUGGGAGAAGGAUACAUGAGUGGCAAAACCUGGGAUGACACAUGGGAGCCUGCAAACACAUUUGCACAACAACACCACACUGCCACCCCUGAGUCUCCUCCUCCUUCUGGUUCAGUUAGCUGAACCUAACUGGUUGGGCUCUACUCACAGCAGGGGAAAAGAGACAAUCGACAGAAAUGACUGACACUGAGCUCAAAUCAAAUACUGUGCUGCAACACGUGUCUUUUGUGUUUAUUGAAGGAAUGUGUUCAUGGA